AGCCUUCUGUAUCCAUGCUGAGAUUUCGUCACACACCAGACCACAAAGUCAAUGAGACUCCCAAGAUGAGUGAAGCG
rnacentral:pre_miRNA from 1 species